CUGCCCUGGGCCGCCGGGCUCCUGGCUGAAGAGAGCCUCCAGCGCUGAGAUGGACGCCGCGUGCCUCUGGCGCAGCCUCGCUUUCCCUGCCUGGGGAAGGGAGCCCAGCCCCAGCUGAAGACCAGCUGGUGCCUGAAGCAGAGGGUAAGUCACCAGUCACGAGCACUGCAGCGGCUAAAGAAUCCCGGGCACCGGAUCUGCAGGAUUCACUGUC
rnacentral:lncRNA from 1 species